UACGUAGGGAGCAAGCGUUGUCCGGAAUCAUUGGGCGUAAAGCGCGCGUAGGCGGCCCGAUAAGUCCGCUGUGAAAGUCAACGGCUCAACUGUUGGAUGCCGGUGGAUACUGUCGGGCUAGAGUACGGAAGAGGCAAGUGGAAUUCCUGGUGUAGCGGUGGAAUGCGCAGAUAUCAGGAGGAACACCUAUAGCGAAGGCAGCUUGCUGGGACGUUACUGACGCUAAGGCGCGAAAAGCGUGGGGAGCGAACGAGG
rnacentral:rRNA from 1 species